GGGCCACUAGCUCAAUAGGCAGAGCAGGCGACUCUUAAUCGUCUGGUUCCAGGUUCGAGUCCUGGGUGGCCCA
rnacentral:tRNA from 1 species